rnacentral:rRNA from 1 species
UACGUAGGGUGCAAGCGUUGUCCGGAAUUAUUGGGCGUAAAGAGCUCGUAGGCGGUUCGUCGCGUCGGCUGUGAAAACCCGGAGCUCAACUCCGGGCCUGCAGUCGAUACGGGCGGACUUGAGUGUUGCAGGGGAGACUGGAAUUCCUGGUGUAGCGGUGAAAUGCGCAGAUAUCAGGAGGAACACCGGUGGCGAAGGCGACUACCUGGCCUGUUCUUGACGCUGAGGCGCGAAAGCUAGGGGAGCAAACGGG